rnacentral:rRNA from 1 species
UCCUGGCUCAGGACGAACGCUGGCGGCGUGCCUAAUACAUGCAAGUCGAGCGGACAGAUGGGAGCUUGCUCCCUGAUGUUAGCGGCGGACGGGUGAGUAACACGUGGGUAACCUGCCUGUAAGACUGGGAUAACUCCGGGAAACCGGGGCUAAUACCGGAUGGUUGUUUGAACCGCAUGGUUCAAACAUAAAAGGUGGCUUCGGCUACCACUUACAGAUGGACCCGCGGCGCAUUAGCUAGUUGGUGAGGUAACGGCUCACCAAGGCAACGAUGCGUAGCCGACCUGAGAGGGUGAUCGGCCACACUGGGACUGAGACACGGCCCAGACUCCUACGGGAGGCAGCAGUAGGGAAUCUUCCGCAAUGGACGAAAGUCUGACGGAGCAACGCCGCGUGAGUGAUGAAGGUUUUCGGAUCGUAAAGCUCUGUUGUUAGGGAAGAACAAGUACCGUUCGAAUAGGGCGGUACCUUGACGGUACCUAACCAGAAAGCCACGGCUAACUACGUGCCAGCAGCCGCGGUAAUACGUAGGUGGCAAGCGUUGUCCGGAAUUAUUGGGCGUAAAGGGCUCGCAGGCGGUUUCUUAAGUCUGAUGUGAAAGCCCCCGGCUCAACCGGGGAGGGUCAUUGGAAACUGGGGAACUUGAGUGCAGAAGAGGAGAGUGGAAUUCCACGUGUAGCGGUGAAAUGCGUAGAGAUGUGGAGGAACACCAGUGGCGAAGGCGACUCUCUGGUCUGUAACUGACG